rnacentral:piRNA from 1 species
UUCCCUUCUAUUAGCACGGGUGAUGCCA